GACGAACGCUGGCGGCGUGCUUAACACAUGCAAGUCGAACGGAAAGGCCCUGCUUUUGUGGGGUGCUCGAGUGGCGAACGGGUGAGUAACACGUGAGUAACCUGCCCUUGACUUUGGGAUAACUUCAGGAAACUGGGGCUAAUACCGGAUAGGAGCUCCUGCUGCCUGGUGGGGGUUGGAAAGUUUCGGCGGUUGGGGAUGGACUCGCGGCUUAUCAGCUUGUUGGUGGGGUAGUGGCUUACCAAGGCUUUGACGGGUAGCCGGCAUGAGAGGGUGACCGGCCACAUUGGGACUGAGAUACGGCCCAGACUCCUACGGGAGGCAGCAGUAGGGAAUAUUGCACAAUGGGCGGAAGCCUGAUGCAGCAACGCCGCGUGCGGGAUGACGGCCUUCGGGUUGUAAACCGCUUUCGCCUGUGACGAAGCGUGAGUGACGGUAAUGUGUAAAGAAGCACCGGCUAACUACGUG
rnacentral:rRNA from 1 species